AUGUCGCCGAAGAGGUAUGCAGCGCCUCGUUCCACGCUGGCCGGCGACACAACGGUGAAAAAGCGAAGAAGAAGGAGCGGCCGUCUCAGAUGAGCAACCCCGACUGCGCGGCCGAUUGUAACCGUCGCAGCGUCGAGAAUGCCUCCCACCGUGAACGGGAGAGGAAGGCCAAAGAGUGAAACGCGGACCUGGCCGAGGGUCACGGCCUCGAUGCAGGUCGCCGCGAACAAGGCUGGCAUGACUACACCGCGGAGCAGCGGAUUGCCAAUUCCCACGAAGCUACUUUUUACCCUGUCCUGUCCGAUGCGUGCGCUCGUGGUCGUUGUGACUAGCUGAUGCCGUUGGAUUACACUGGAUCUCUGUCCAUCUCUCCCCUAGAUCCCGGCGCCCCCAGUUCUCCAUGAUCCUGCCGCCGCCACCUCUCUCCCCAUCUCUGCGAGAUCCCCGCGGACAACGAUGUAUCGGGAUACGCCGAACCGCGGCCCGCGCCUCGUCGGCCGCGUGGAGGAGUUCAUCCAUGCCCAGGCGAAUAUUUCAGGUGUACUAGCACAGCUUCGCCCCUGUAUCGAGGGAUUAUUGUAUGGUUCUGCAAUGUGUUCAUGCUCUAGAUAGAUUAGCAUUUUAAUUUCAGGUGCUGUCCAUUACAGGAAUGGCCAAAAAUAUAUCUGAGUUGGCUGAUUUUGGUCGCAAACUAAACCUAUCUUAUGCCCCUGUUUGUGCCUGAAUUCGGUGGCUUUCAGGUGCUGUCCAUUACAGGAAUGGCCAAAAAUAUAUCUGAGUUGGCUGAUUUUGGUCGCAAACUAAACCUAUCUUAUGCCCCUGUGUGUGCCUGAAUUGGGUGGCUGGAAUCAGCAAGUAUAAGUACUGGUAUGUUAAACUAAAUUUCAGAAAUGGAAGUUCAGUUUCUGUAAUUUCAAAAACAUACGAUUAGACAUUCAUAAUUGCAAAUAGCACAAGAUUGCUGAUUCACGGUUGGAACUAAAUGCAAAAUCUCAACAAAUGAAGUUCACCAUAUAAGUACUGGAUUCUAAGUACUGCAAAUAGCAAUGCACGGGUAUUGUGCUAGUGUGCCUAAAAUAUUGUACAUGUAGUUCUUCACAUCAAACAGUUACGAAUUUCACCUAUUAUGGAUGUCUUCAAAACCUUUUUAGUCCCAGCUUGAGAAGGUUGCUCCAACCUGGAUGAAUGUUUCAUUAAAAAUGAAAAAGGAUGCGGAGACAGACAAAGCUUUUGGAUGGGUCUUGGAAAAGUACGCCUAUGCUUUUGCAAGUGCAUUGCAUGGCGUGCACCACAACCUCCGUAAAGAUUUUAUGAUUCAGCCUCCAUGGGACCUGAAAUCGGAUAACACGUUCAUCAUCCAUUAUACUUAUUGAUGUGAUUAUUCGUUAAAGGGUGAGCUGACUUACGGAAAAAUUGGAGAAUGGCGUUUUGACAAAAGAUCUGUUCACCACCACCAAGAAAUCUCUCGUUGCCCCCUCCAGGAGUUCUUGAAAGUGUGGUUAAUUUGGGUUCAAUGCAGUUGCAAGGUUGACGAGUUGCCACGAACGACAAUGCCAUGUAUUUAGGUGCACGAGUUUCAGGAUCUGACAUAGUCAUAGAAUUAACAGCCUGAGAAAUUGAAUUUGGAAGUAUCUGAGCAUUCUGCUUUACAAAUUCCAUUGGUAGAGUUUGUAUGCUUUUGCAAUUUAGGUAGAGGAUUUCUAGGUGAAAGUUAUUCAAUUGCAAUGUACAAGUGUUUUAAGUGAUUUUGGCAUAUCCUUAUUUGAUGCUUUUGGGAUGCAAAUAAAUGGCAAUAAUUUGUUGUGUCUUCAAUUACUUCA